GAUGAACGCUGGCGGCGUGCCUAAUACAUGCAAGUCGAGCGAACAGACGAGGAGCUUGCUCCUUUGACGUUAGCGGCGGACGGGUGAGUAACACGUGGGUAACCUACCUAUAAGACUGGGAUAAAUUCGGGAAACCGGAGCUAAUACCGGAUAAUAUUUCGAUCCGCAUGGUUCGAUAGUGAAAGAUGGCUUUGCUAUCACUUAUAGAUGGACCUGCGCCGUAUUAGCUAGUUGGUAAGGUAACGGCUUACCAAGGCAACGAUACGUAGCCGACCUGAGAGGGUGAUCGGCCACACUGGAACUGAGACACGGUCCAGACUCCUACGGGAGGCAGCAGUAGGGAAUCUUCCGCAAAGGGCGAAAGCCUGACGGAGCAACGCCGCGUGAGUGAUGAAGGUCUUCGGAUCGUAAAACUCUGUUAUUAGGGAAGAACAAACGUGUAAGUAACUGUGCACGUCUUGACGGUACCUAAUCAGAAAGCCACGGCUAACUACGUG
rnacentral:rRNA from 1 species